CCUUCCUUCCUUCCUUCCUUCCUUCCUUCCUUCCUUCCUUCCUUCCUUCCUUCCUUCCUUUUUCUUUUUCUCUUUCCCUUUCUCCUUUUCUUUCUUCCUUUCUCUCUCUUUCUUUCUUUCCCAGAUCUGUGAUUCUAUUAUAUAAAUAACUCUUAGUGAGGAAAAUCCCUCCAUAGUUGCAAAUCAACCACCAUUCUGUAAAUUAGAGUCUUGGACAAUUGUCUGAGGGCAACUGAGAGAUUAUGUGACUUGGCUAUGGUCACAUUUCCAGUGUGUGUCAGAGGCAGGACUUAGACAAGUCCUCCUGACUUAGAAGUGAGUUCUUUCUAUAAUCUGCCAUGCUUCUUUUAAGGUACAACAGGUAGAGUACAAUGUGUUUCCAUAAAAAGAUCUUAAAAUUCUUCAAGGCUGUGAGUGUGAACAUCAGUAAUCAUCUCAUAGUUCCAUCUCUUUAGAAUUUGGUAGUCACCCUGGCCUUGUAAGGAGGAGCCCUGGGUUCUAGUCUGUGGCUAGCUAACAAUUACCUUUACAACUCCAGUAAAAUCACUUAACCAAGUAAUCAAAUAGAAGAUCUGAGGACCAGUGUGUCAGACACAGUGUUUUCAUGUUCAGAGAAGAGCAUAGAAUUUAAUAAUAGCUGGCAUUUUAAUAACAUUUAAGGUUUAAAAGUGAAUUACAUCUUAUCUCAUUUGAUCUUCACAACAAUUUUAUCCCAAUUUUAUAAUUAUCCCCAUUUUGUAGUUGAGGAAAUUGAUGUUUGGAGGUUGUCACUUACCUAAGGUAACAUAACGAGUAAGCACUGUGAGACAGGAUUUAACUCAUGUCUUGUUGAUUCCAAAUACAAUAUAGCUACCUAGCCUGCCCAAAGAACUAGACCCUCUCUCUCUCUUCCUCCUCCCCAACCUCCUUUUUUAUCCCUUCUACCCCUUCAUCCUUACCUUCUCUCCAGAUGAGAAAACUGAUUCCCAGACAAUGUAAAAGGCCAUAUAAACACUGGUUAUUUUUCUAUGUGUCCAUAGAGACUAGUCUCACAGAUGGUUAAUGUGGUAGAGUCUGGAUUUGAAUUCAGGUCUUAAGAAGUCUACAGCUAUGAUGUUUAUUUCAGCCUGCUAAUUUAAUGUAUUCUUGCUAAAAGAAUGCUAUUAGCAAUCAAUGAGACUCUUUAAAGUAUUAUAUUUAAAUGCAGAACCUCUAUUUUCUUUGUCUCAGUUAACUAAGUAAUUUUGAAUCAGUUGCAAAUGCUGGAGUACUCCUUGUCAUAUUUUUACCACAUAGAAUACUUUUCUAUAAACAUUAGAUACUUUAGGGCUGGAAGGGACCUUCAGGAUAAUUUUAUAGUUAGACCCUUUUAUUUUAUAGCAGAGUAAAGUUUGUAUGAAUGGGAAUAUAUAAAUUGGAACUUAUCUAUGCCCUUUUAGGGACAACAAUGGUAUCUAGGCGUUUUCUCUCUCUUAGAACCUACCUCAAAUUAUUGUGAGGAUAAAUGAGAUCAUCUAGCCUUGCAAGUCUUAAUGGACCUUCUACAUGGUAUCUGUCAUCAUCAUAAUUGUUGCUAUUGCUUUAGAAACUCCAUCUCUUUGAAGAUGCUGAAAAUCAGUUCCCCAGUAUUUUUUGAAUGAUCACCUUCAGCACAGAGUUUUCCUGCUGAGCGUUCGAUUAGAUCCAUUCACUCUUUUGAUCUUCAUCUUCUUUGGUGCAUCUUCUAAGUCUUUACUCAGUUCUUCAGAUCGUGAGGUUCUCACAUUCAGAUAUGGCGAUUCCAUUAUGAAAAAGAAGAGGCCAGAAUAGAAUUGUUGACUUCACAUCUUUUUUGUCAUCCUUCUGAUUUUGUCAGAAAGUGUUCUUCCUUCGUUUGGGGUGACUUGAGUUUCACUAUACCUUCUAGAGAUUCCUUUUCCUUCUAUCUUCUUUCACUGAGAGGGCCAUAUUAUUUGGACCAUGUCCCUUCAUAACACUUUCCAAUGAGAGGUGUGCAGAGUAAGCAUCUUUCUGGAUUGGUCAUUUGUUAGUUACCAAAAAAAAAACAAAACCUCCAAUUAAACCAAGUCAAACAAAAUUAAACCACUACCAGCAACAAAAAACCACAUUUGAUUAAGAAAAGGUAGAAACAACUUCACAGGCUCUCAUUCAACAAAUUAGAAUAAUUUAAAAUUCCUUUAUAGAUGCAAUGAGAAAAAUAUGUUUCUCUCAUUAUGAAUAUCAAGCAGACCACUCAGACUCUACAGUAUAGAGAGGAAUUCCCCAUAUUGGCUCUCUAGGUGGUUGUACUUGUGGGUGCUACUGUGCUGAUAGCUUCUAAUCAAGAAUGCUCAGUCAUAAGUUUGCAUAUUUUUUGGUUAGGUAUUGUUCUUGUAUGUGACUUAAUAGAAAAUUUUGUAAUACUUUUAGUGGUAUGUCAAAAUUCAUUUUGCCAAAACUAACUUCUCUAAGAAAUUAUGAAUCUAUGACUCAUGGGGAUACCAUAAUUUUUAAAGAAUAUGUUGAAAUAGAAUAAAUAAACUGAGGGAAACUAUUACUUGUUGAAAUAGAGAGGUAAACUGAGAGGGAUUGUUUCUUCUUACAAUGACUACUGUUCUCUGGUUGGCUGUGACUAGAGAAGGCUGCUACAGGAACCUAAGGAUGCUUAUUUGUAAUGGAGAUAGAAAUGAGAAAUGCUGAGGGAUGUCACACAGAGAUACUGGUACACAAGGGACUGCUCUGAGGUUUACUCUGGGGUCUGCCUAUCGAUCCCUACUGAUGGCUGAUGGAUCAAUCUAUUUCCUAACUCCUUCUUCCCUCACUCCCUCCCUUAACCAACCCUCUUCCUCCUGCCACCCUCUCCUCCCAAUUCUUCCCUCCCCUCUGAAUGAACCAUAAUAGAUACUAGUUUUCUUUCUCAGGUAAGGGGUUUAUUGUGAUAACAGAAUGGGAAACUGAUGUAAGAGGGAUGAGGAUUUCCCUAAAUUAUGGGGAUAAUUUUAGGAAGGUUUGAGGAAGUAUUCCAGUCACUAAGACAGUUAGAGAGAUGGAGGACAACAGUUUGAAUCUUCUUUCUUCUUCACCAAGAAAAAUCUCUCUGGUUCCUCCUGGCCAGUUCAACUCUCAAAUAGACCACCAACUCAAAAGCCAAGUUUCUUUUUCUCAUCAGCUUCAACUACCCAGAGUCAGAGAGACAGAGACCAAGUCCAAAAGCCAAAUUUCUCUUCUCAGUGUGGCCAGCAAACCCCCAACUGCCACUCCUGGGAACAUUCCAUUGGAAUCUUCUCCUGAUUGACAGCUAGAGCCAGGUCUCCAGCCCUGCAUCUUCGUUUACAAGCUCUCUCUCUCCCCAGCCUCUACUAUAAUGGGUGAUCCAGAAGUCAAUCAAGAAAUACCUCAUAUGUGCAAGAAAGCUAUAGAAUGUUACAAGUAAUUACUUACAUGUAAGAAGUGAUCUAAGGAAAUGAUUAUUUGGAACAAGAGGGGGGUUUUCAUGCAAUGAGAGCUAUGAAAAAUGAAUAUACAAGAUACUAGUUUGGGGUAUUGCACUGGUACCCACCAAAUCCUGUCCAACCUAAAUACAGGGUUCUUGGAAGCGAUAUUCAUCCUUCACUGGUGAUUUUGAGAAGGCUGUGGACAAGCCUUAUGUAGGAGGAGAAGGCACAAAUGGGCUGCAUUCGAGGACUGAGGAUUCAUAUCAAGAAUGACUAUGUUUCUUUCAUCAAAGCUUUUCUUUAUUGGAAGCUUACUCAUUCAAUUUGUCCCUUGGUUUAGGUGAACUCCAUGGACUAAGAUAGUGAUGGUGAAACUUAGAGACUGAGUGCCCAAACUGCAACCCUCAUGUGGCGUGUGAGACCACUGCCUUACCCCAGACAGGGGAGGGAGGAAACACUCCCAUUGGGCUGCUAGGCAGAGGGGUUGGUGAUGGAAGAAAUGUCCUCAGGCCUAUGUGGAGAGAGGAAAGGGAGCAGCACCCUCUGGAACAUUCUGGCACAUGUGCCAUGGGUUCACCAACAGAGGACAAAGUAAAAGGGGGACCCAAAGGAUAUCAGCAUAGGUUCCCCCUUCUUCUCAAAUAUAAGAAUAAUGGUUUAAUGGCCCCAUAACUGAUGGAAACUCAAGUUUUCUUGAUAUCAUAUAACAAUGGUCCAUAUUUCUAAAGUUUUUGCAUGGGAGUCCAAAAUUUCUGGACAUGUAUCAUUAGACUAGCCAGAAAAUACAUCCAUUCUUUUCUGGAUCAGGUCAGUUACAACAGAGUGUUUCUCUAAAAUAUCUUUCCUGAAUAGCAAGCUUUUGAAAUUAAGUGGUUGUUGUUCUUCAUACACAAAGAGGACCAAAAUGACAAAUUUAAAUAAGGCAGAAUUACACAAAAUUGUCAGCCUCAAUCUCUCUUUCAGAGUCAAUGAAGUCCAUUGGCAGGGCAAAAAUCACAAUGGCAGGUGAUGGCUAGGGAUGUAGCUGAUGGUUGGUGUUUUCCGUAUCUAACCAAGUGCCAUUUCAGCCAUUUUCAUGACUGCUGGAACACAUUGUUCUCAUCUCUUCCUUCCACUAGGGAAAGUCUUCUCAUGCCUGAGGCAGUCACUCUGCCUCUACCUUCAACUCACUGAUGAGUCUGAAGUCUGCUGAUGUCCUUAAUCUGGUUUAACUAGGUGUGGUCUCUGGGUCUGCUAUAGUUUCUUGGAGCCAUAGGUGAGAACUAUGUGACAGGUGGACACCAAAGGAGAAAAGCAGUUCUGAAAAGGGCUUGGCAAGCCUUCACACUAGAGGUACCAGUAUUCUCUGAUUGCCCUAUGUAGUAGAAAGAACCCUGGCUUUAGAAUUAGAGGAUCUGGGUUCAAAUCAUGACUAUGAUGCGUAUUUCUUUUCUGACCUUGAAAAAUUACAUGUAGAUCCUAUGGACCUCAGUUUUCUCAUCUGUAAAAUGAAAGGGUUGGACUAGAUAGAGUUUAAGGUCCCUUUUAGAUUUAUGAUCCUACAUUCUUGUUGUAUAAACAUGAUCAGACUCUCAAAGACCAUCUUUUCCUUGGAAAAAUAAUAACCCUCCAGGGAGAGGUCUCUACUCUUCCUCUUUGCCUGACCCAUUUCAAGGCUGAGAGACCAAUGUAAAUAAAUGCACAAAGAACACAUUUGUCAUGUGGAUGGUGGCAGCAAGGGCAGGGAACAGAAUGAAUAUAAAAUCAUAGUAUCUGCUUGUAAAAUUAGUGUAUAGGGAACUAAAAUUCUGAAUGAGAUGAGGCAGAGAAGGAAAUUCAAGGCUAACAAAGAGGGCUUCUUUUAACUAUAUUGUGGAAAAUAAAAUGAUCAAAACAGGGAGUGGAAUACUGUUUUGAGUGGGUGGCUAAUGAGGCGAGGUGGCAGAAAAUAGUAGAUAUACUUAACUGUUAUUUUGAGUCUUUUGUUGUUUUUUAUUUUUUCCUACCUGAGAGGUUGAUCUUUGGAUUGGAAAGGACAAGACAAAAAUAGGAGUUAUUUUAAAUCUCUAGAUAAAGAAAGACAUAGUGAGAGAUCAGCUACCUGUUCUUUGUGUGUUUCAUUCAUUAGUGUCAUAUGAACUAAACUCCAAGCCAUAAAAGAAGUGGCUUGUGUCACUGCUUGGUUAUCUUCAACAGAUUUUUGAGAGAGAAAAGUUACUGCAAGAUUGGAAAAAAGUAGAAGACCAAAUUUUGUUUGAUAAAAGAAGUGAUGGUGUCUGCAAGAUAAAGGCCAAUUUCUGGAAAAUUUCUAAAAUGAAUGAAAGGGAUGGAUACGAAACAUUUGGAAAAGGAAGCAAUGAUUGCUAAAAGUUAGCAUGACUUCAACAUGUCAUAACAAAUCACCUUGUUAGAGAAUCACUAAAUCUGAUAGUUAGAUGGGAUUUCAACAAUCAACUAAUUCAACUCAUUAUUUUCUUUUUCUUUUUUAAAUGAGGAAAAGAAACCCUCACCUUCCAUCUUAGAAUAAAUACUCUGUAUUGGUUCCAAGACAGAAGAGCUGUAAAGGCUAGCCAAUGGGGGUUAAGUGACUUGCCCAGGGUCACCCAGCUUGGAAGUGUCUGAGGUCAAAUUUGAAACCAGGACCUCCUGUCUCUAGGCCUGGUUCUCAAAUUGCUGAGCCACCUGGCUGCUCGCAACCCAUGUUUUUCUGAAGCAAAAAAGCCUCUCUAUAAGUCUUUAACAAAUAAACAUCCAUCUUUCACUUGAGAAUGUCAUGCAUGUGUGAACCCAUUCAUUACCUCUCAAGGCAGUCAUAUAAAGUUUGGAGCAACUAUGUUCUUAGGAAUUGUUUUUUCUUAAAUCCUGCAAAAAUCUGCCUCUCUGCAACCCUUACCCAUUGCUUUUAGUUUGGCCAAGUGGAACAAAUCAGACUUUACUUAUGUAUGUAUCAUAUCGGUGAAGGCAAUAUCCCUUCCUAAUUCUUCUCUUUUUCAAGAUAAACUUAUCCAGUUUCUUUAACACUGGUAGGUGGUAUAGUGGAGAAAGUCCUGGAUUUGGGGUCAGGAAGACCUGAGUUCAAGUCCUCCUUCAGGCAAUUACUAGCUGUAUAGUCUGGGCCAAUCACUUGACUUCUAUCUCACAUUUCUAAAAUGAAGAUAAUAAUACAUCACAAGGUUGUUGUGAGAAACAGAUGAAAUAAUAAUGUUAAGUACUUCACUUGAUGUUAAAGAAAUAUUUAUUAUUGUUACUAUUAUUAUUGGGUUUGAUUUCCUAUACUUUCAUCAUUUAAAGGAUUUGUUUCUUGAUACUCUCAGUGCCUCUGUGACUGAGUCCUCAACACUGGGUCUGUCCUUGCUGUCCCUUUAUUUCCCUUAAGAUAUUAUUGCCCUUCCCCUCCUGUUGUCACCUCCCCUUCCUCCUCUCUCUCAUCUGUGCCUAGGGUCCAGCAAGCUAAGCAAACAUCCUCAGGAAAUCGCCAAACAAUACAGGCAGGACAAAGUUAAGGGACAGAUUGGAAACUCAUGGGCUGUGAGUUCUAUGUCCUGUCCUUCUGCUCACUGUAAUAUUCAAGUAAAUCAUUUCAAAUCUUGUUUCUUCCAUUUCUUUAUUUAAAAAGAAGAACUGUAUGUCUGUGCUAUUUCUCCUCUUUCUAUGGGUAUAUAGAGGUCCACACUGAGAAUGUAAAUUAAUCCCUUGGGAAAGGCAAAAAAUACUUACUGGUGUGAUGGUGAGUUAUUGGUCUUCACUGGCCCCAGACAUGAUUGUGAUUCAUAGUAGAACUGAGCGAUGGAUAGUGGGAAGGAACUCUGGGUGAUUUCAGCCUCCCUCUGACCAUUUUUUUCCAGUCAGCUGAUUCAGGUUUAUUUAUUAUGAGACACUGACCCUGGAUAAUACAACCACUAUAAUAGUUUAUCUAGCACCAAUAAAUCAAACAACAUGCAUUUAUUAAAUACCCACUAUAUACCGGGAACUGUGUUCAGUUCCAAAAAUGUAAAAAACAAAAUGAAAUCAAUCCUAUUCAUGAGAGAAUGUAAACACCAAAUUAAUUGUACACAAAACAUCUUCAAAAUAAAACUAAAAAUUUUGGGGUUGAAGGAAGGAAGGAAGGAAGGAAAAAGAAAGAAAGAAAAAAAGAAAGAAAGAAAGAAAGAAAGAAAGAAAGAAAGAAAGAAAGAAAGAAAGAAAGAAAGAAAGAAAGAAAGAAAGAAAGAGAGAGAGAGAGAGAAAGAAAGAGAGAGAGAGAGAGAGAGAGAGAGAAAGAAAGAAAGAAAGAAAGAAAGAAAGAAAGAAAGAAAGAAAGAAAGAAAGAAAGAAAGAAAGAAAGAAAGAAAGAAAGAAAGAAAGACCAACAGCUUGGAUGAUCAAGGAAGCUUGCAUAAAGAACAUUAUGCUUUUGCACAAGAGUUUUUUUAAUUGAAAAAUUUUAUUUAAUUAAUUAAUUUAGAAUAUUUUUCCAUGGUUCCAUGAUUCAUGUUCUUUCCCUCCCCUUCUCCUUCCCAUAACCGAUGUGCAAUUCCACUGGGUUUAACAUGUAUCAUUGAUCAAGAUCUAUUUCCAUAUUAUUGAUAAUUUUUUGCACAAUAUUUUUGAAGGAAAUGAGGUUUCAAGAAGUAGAGGUAAGGUGGGAGAGCAAUCCAGGAAUGGGGCACAACCAGGACAAAGAUAUGGAGGCAGAAAAAGGUCUAUCCUAGCUAUGACAAGUCACAAGAAGUUUCUAUAACAAUGAUUGAAUUCCUAGGCAAGAGCUAGGUUCUUGCUGCAUUGUUGAUGUCCUUAAAUCUCCCUAUAGAGGAGGCAUAUUAAAAGAAUUAAAUCAGGACUUAGUAUACUAGUUCUGCUAUUCAUCUUCUCUGCUGUCCAGAGUUAAUAGCAGAACCUAUCUGAGCCUCUAUUUCCUCAUUUGUAAAAUAGGCUUCCUAAUAACUGCCUUUCCUAGCUGUCAGGAUUGCAUUAAUAUCUACUUCAUUGCUUUGCUUCAACAAAUGUUUCUUCAGCCAACGAGAUGUGAAAAUGCCUGCAAGGAGGACUGAAAUGUAAGUUUUAUCAGGGAUCUUAAUGGUGAUUAAAAUAAUAAAGGUCAAAUAAGCCCAGACUCAGCAGCUAUUUACUCUUCACAGAUCCAAACCAAACCAAACACAAAAUAAGAACUGUUUAUUUCUCUUCUGUUUUAGGGUCUUAUGUCCUUGGCAGAGGCAGAAUUUCCUCUGUGGAAAGGUAAAGCCUGCCCCAUUUCAAGAGAAAGGCAAAAUCAAAGGAGUCUGUUUAUACAAAGUGAAUGUGGUUUCAUCAGUAAUUUUUUGGCUCAUGGUUCAUUUUGGGCUGCAGAGAAUGAAAAGGAGGAAAAGUCAAAUUAGACAGGACCUAAGAGUCAUCCUUUUCUGAGACAUAAGGUGUGGUCCAGUAGAUAGAGCACCUGGCUUGGGCUCAGGUCCCUCUGCACCUACUCACUGGCUUUGUGACCUGUGCCAAGUCAUUUGCCUUUUUCCUGGACCACUUUUUGAUCAUCUCUCAAAUGGCAGGUUUGAAUUAGAUGAUAUCUAGAUAAAUAGCUAGACUAGCAUUCAUAUAGUUUUGCAAAGUGCUUUACAAAUAUAAAUUUAUCCUCAGAAUAACUUCAGGAGAAAUUAUUAUGCCCAUUUUAAAGAUGAGGGAAUGUAGGUAGAUUGAGAAGUGACUUGUGUAGCAUCAUACAAUUUAUAUCUGAGGCUAGAUUUGAACUCAAGUCUUCCUGACUCUAAGGCUAGUCCUCUGUGUACUGUGCCACCUUGUUGCCUAAAUGACAAGUACCUCUCUAGGACCAAUGACUGAAAUGAAAGGGCAACCCACAUAUUUUGACAGAGGAGGAAACUGAGUCACAGAGAAAUAAUCUGAGUUACUCAAAGUCCAAUGACUACCAUUAGUAGUCUGGAGAAUAUCUAAAAAAGAGUGACAAAUGCUGGAUCCAGGAGAAGACAUGCCUGGCGGAAUGGAGAUGAUAGCUGUCUCUAAAAGUCUCUGAAAGGUUCUCAUAUGGAAGAUGAGUUCUGCUUGGACACAGAAGCCAAAAUUAGGAGCAAUGAUUAGAAAUCACAAAGGAUCAGGAUUGGGACUAUAGGAUAGGAAGGAAAAUCUGUAAAUGUUAGGGCUAUCUCAAUGUAGAAUAAGCUUCCUCUUUAGUCAAAGCCGGGAUGACCUAUAAUAGAUUUAGAGCUGGUAGGGACAUGGGGGUCAUUAUGCCCAUUUUUAUAGGUGACAUGACUUAGAGAUUUUUCCAGAUCAAAUAGCUAGUUAAUGGAAAAAGCAAGAUUUGAACCCAGGUCUACCUGAGUUCAUGUCCAGUGCUCUCUUUUCUAUAUCACCUGAUUAUAGAAAGGAUUAUAGUAUAUCUCCCCUAAGAUCCCUUCUACUUCCAAGAUUCUGUGAUUCUGAGAAUCUCCAAGUUACCAAGGAGAUUAGAAAGGUAACUGUUUGGGAGGGAGGGGAGGCACUCUGCGAUGUAGGGAGAUAUGGCUGCUAUUGAGACCUGGGGAGGUUUGGUUCCUGAGACAGUCAUCCCACCUUCCCUGCCUUACUUCUGGGGGACAAAGAAGACAUCCACUUCCUGAGCCAAUCUGAAGUAAAGUGGAUCUGAGAACAGUAGGACCAACAUAACAGGAAAAUAUUUCAGUGACAGAACCCAACACGUGUGUGUUUGGCGAGGCUGGUGGAGGUUAACAAGGAGCUGAGUAUUAACUUAAGGUGGCUGAACAGCAAUGGAAAGAUGAUCGCUGGCCUUCUCCGAUCUCUGGGAGGACCUGGGAAUUGAGAACCCCAUGAGGUCUUACAAAUCUCCUCCAGAUUCCCUCACAGGCUACUGCUGCUGCUUAGGAGAUUCCCAGGGACAGGCAGCAGUGAAAUAGUGGAGCCUCAAUCUGAAGCAGCUGACAUCAGGCUCAGAGCAAGAUCCAAGAAUCACCCCCCUGAAAACCAGCCCCAAUAAUCUUCCAAAGAAGAGAAUAGAACACAGCUGAGAGAAAAUAUCUCUGAAUGGCCAAGAACUUUAAGGAGGACCAACUACUCCUCCGAAUUUGAUCCAGGCUUUGACUUGAAGAAACUGGAUUUCCAGAAUAGCAGAUAUCAGUUUCAACAGUCCUGAGGCCCAGGCGAGAGGACAAUGAGACCUGGGACCCAUACUAACAUUCUUUUGGACUGGGACAAGCUGGAGAGUUCCCACCCAACCCUCUUCUUGACAUUUAAAGUCUUGCAUCACAAUGUAUAAGUUAAAAACAUACACCUGAGCAUUAUCUCUGAAUAUUCAGAAAGAAGCAACUCUCAGUUCUGAGUCCUUAGUUAGUUUUGCAUUGCCUAUUUCCCCCUUUUCUUCAUCCAAGAAAUACUGACUAGGGUAUUAGAGCAAGAAUGUGGUUUCAUCCCGAAAAUGAUUUUUAUACUCAACAGCUUUACCCCAAAGAGUUUUCAGAGUUAGCAUCCUAGAAUGUCUUUUGUCAGGGUGCCGUGACCUCUGAUUGCAAGGAUCUUCUAAUCUCUUGGCACCGGGAUACUGAAUGAAUUAAUGGAAUUCUCAAAAAUUAUUUUCAGGGAUGUAGUUGUCACUGAUCUCGUGGCAUAAAUGCAUUACUGCCUAGUCCUAGCCUUUGGUCUACAAUCCACCUCUAUCACUUCUAGCAGUGUAUAAUGAAGCCACAGAGGCCCAAGCUACACAAGCAAACCCCAAAACAAACACACAAAGAAAGAUCUGGCAACUUCAUUUCCUGGCUCUGUACUGGUCUGACAUGGAUCUCACCUGGCUCUCUUGAUCUUUCUCCCAUUAUUAUUUUCAGUUCUUUAGUCAUAUUAUUAUUGCUUGGCUCAGUUUUGAGGAGAGAGGCUGGUUCCCCCCUUCCUAUUUUUGGCUGCAGCUACUCCCCUCUUGGUCUCCAGAGGAAUUGUUUCACCUGUCUAAAUGUGGCAACACCCAGUCAUUGAUGAUCUAAAUCAGUAUGAUCAACCCUGUUAUUGAUUUGGGUAGUGUUCUUUCUAGGGAAAAUUAACUGAAUUACUUUUCAGUUUUUAGUUUGCUUCCAGGAAAUGCCCCAGUCACAUUUGCUCUGGUAGUGAAGCAAACUGAGUAUGGUUAUCAGCUGGAGUUCAAAUCUCCCAAACAUGCAUGGCAUUUCCGAUUCCUAUACAAUGUAUGAUAUGUUCUGCACAAUGUGCUAGAAUGCAUCAUAAGUUAUUUCUGCAAAACGUGAUUCCUGUCCAGUCUUGAAGUUGGGGGUGGCGGCAGAGUAAUCAUAUAUAUAUAUAUAUAUAUAUAUAUAUUGACUUCCAGUCUGCAGAACUUACAAUCCUGAGUCAGUCUGGUGACAUUUGAAAUGCCAAUUCCUAAGACAAAGCUGAAAGGCUCUAUCUGUAAGCAAUAAUGCUGCUGAGCCCCUAGCCAAGAUCUCACCCAUUUAAAAGGGUCCUUUCUGAAGAAUUCAAGAAUAAGGAGUGAUAGGAUUUAUGGAAAUCGUGGUUGUGCUGACUUGCAUUAUGUAAAUGUGCUUGCUUUACAAUAAAACACAUUCAUUUUCCUUGGCAAUGAGAUUUCUGUCACCUUCCUGCAAACUGUGUCCUCAGUUGCUUUGUGGAGUAGCUGUUGGUGAGCCCAGCAGUGUCUGACCUGCCAAGGGCAUGGCUAGGGGAUAUUGGCCUGCUCCUUCUGAAAGCUCUCUGGGGUACUCCGUUGUCCAGUUAGAGGGGAGAAGAACUGUAGGUAACAUUUAGUCCAACCCACUCAUUUUAAAUAGGAAGAUGCCAAAGAUUGCAUAAGUGACGUGGCAUGCCCAUUGUCUGGCUACUAGUUGUCGUGGCACUGGGCAGUAGAAUUUCUAACCCAGCACGGCCUAAGGAAUGCUCUGCCAUUUUCCAUUACUCACUUCUGUUUUGAUUUCUAUUGCUGUGGUUAACCAUGAGUUGACCCAUGUGAAUCAGUGAAUCAACAGUCCCUUGCCCUGUGUAUGAAUGUCUACCGAGAAGAGUGUGUGACUAUGCAUUAAUUUUGUGUUUUGUAAGCCUAAUACAAAGAGCUAUUUUGAGUGGACUGUUAUAAUAGGCAAAAUAAGAUGAUACAAAUAUGCAAGAUCCAUUGUUGUGGAUGAUUAUGUGUGUUUAAAAGGUCUAGUAGAGUCAAAGCUGUAGUGAUUAACUUUGAGUUCAUAAACUUGUUUCAAAAACGAUUAUUUCAAUAUAUGUGAUUUCUUUUGUAAUCUGAUAUAUUUCUACAUGUUCAAAAACAUUCUGAGGAAAAGAUCCAUGGGACUCACUUGACAGCCAAAGGUAGCUAUACCCCACUCCCCGAAGAUUAAGAAACCCAGGGGGUCUAGGACAAUAGUAAACUUUGCCUUCCCUAUGGAAUCUGAUCCACUUUAGGAAAUAGAGUGCAUUCCUCCAUCUUAUGCCUCAUUGGACAUGAAGUCAUCCCUUGAACUGCCAGUUCAAUGCAAUAAGCAACUAACUAUCAAGCAUCAAAUGUCCCAGGCAGCUUACUAGGCACUGGAGAAAUAGAGACAAAGUAAAUGAUAGUCCUUGUUUCCAAGGAACUGUAGGGAGCAUCAGGGAGACUGGUGCCCUGAUUAGGAUGCUUGGAAUGCCACCCAUCUUCACCUCUGCCUCUUGGAAUCCCUUCAAGGCUCAGUCUAUCUACCAUUUCAUGUACAGAUUUCCUCAGUGUUUAGAAAUUCUGCUACCCAAAGAUAUGAUGGAUUUACCUGCUCCCAUCUACUUGCUACUUUCCCUCCAGAAGAAUGGAAAAGGUUCAAGGGCAGGGACUGCCUCCAUUUUUGUCUUUCUACUUUUAGUAUAUAAUGCACACUAGGUAUUUAAUCUCUACUUGCUGAUGUAUUGAAUUCAACAAUGGAACUACAAUAGAAACAGUAGUAAUUAAAUAGGAUAAUAAUACAUACAUGACACAUCAUUUAUACAUCAAAAAAUCCAAAGCAAUAGGACAUUUAAUUCAGCAAUGAAUUACAUCUGGUUCAGGGAAUCUUUGGCAUUAUCCUAACUUAGGCCAUGGAUAGCUUCGAUUGCUCCAAGUCUUUUGUUGCCUAAUGGUCAUUCUACAUCUCAGUCAGCACUGACCAUAUGGACAGUCAUUGUGAUAGCUUCUAGGAAUACAGAGAAGGGCAAAAGCAGUACCUGCCCUCAAGAAGUUCACCUUAUAAUAGUGGGAACAAUAUACAAAUGACUAUGUACACAUAAGAAAUAAAUAGAUUAGGGGGCAGCUGGGUGGCUAAGUGGAUUGAGAGUCAGGCCUAGAGAUGGGAAGUCCUAGGCUAAAAUCUGGUCUCAGACACUUCCCAGCUGUGUGAUCCUGAGCAAGUCACUUGACCUUCAUUUCCUAGCCCUUACUAUUCUUCUGCCUUGGAACCAAUACACAGUAUUGGGAGAACAUUCUGGGUAUAGGGAGUGGGGGACGAAAUGUAAAUCUGUAACUAAGUUGGCUUAUAGUGUAGAUUUGCUAACAGCGUUGCUAAAUUCUAUGAUUUGUUUUUUCAUUAAGACAGAAAUUCUUCAUUUGGAUUUUUCUUUAAUAUUUCCAUAAUGUGAUUUCUAUAUUAUAAUCUAUAUUUUAUAAUAAUACAAUUAAGAAUAUGAUUCUGAGAAGGGGUCCAUAGAUUUGACCAAAUUGCACAAGGGGUCCAGAAUGUUAGAUAAAGUGAAGACUCCUAGGGACUCUACCAAUCAGCCCUUGAAUAAGAAUGAUACUGCCAAAGAAUUCACUCAUCCCCUUAAAUCCUAGGUGAGGAUAUUGAGUUUCUAAUAUACAGUGCUUGUUGUACUCAAAGUAAUACCUUUUCUUGGAAACUAUCUGUGUGGACUAGGAAGCAAGGCAUUUCGGUGCUUGAAUCUCUCAUUUUAAUUCUUACCAUAACCCUAUGAGGUAGGGGCUGCUAUUACUACCAUUUUGUAGUUGAGGAAACUAAGGUAAAGAUUAUGUGACUUAUCUGAGACAAAAUUUGAACUCAAAUAUUCCUGAUUCCUCUCCUCUGUUCUCUCCCUCUCUUUCUCUCUCCCUCUCUUUCUCUCUCUCUCUCUCUCUCUCUCUCUCUCUCUCUCUCUCUCUCUCUCUCUCUCUCUCUCUCUCUCUCUCUCUCUCUCUCUCUCUCUCUCUCUCUCCCCCCCCCACAAUAUGGACAUAUAUGAAAACAUAUAUUUCUUGUACUGCUCCAUUUUCCAAUGUCUUCUUCAGCAGAAUAGCUAAUCUCCAGAUUUUUUCAAUCUUGUUAUCAAAUCUGUGUUUAAUUUCUGACCCAAGUCUUUUCAAUAGUCUCUGAAUACUAAGGUUUUUCAGCAAAAUUUUGUUAUCUUGCUUUCAUUUUUUAUAACAAAUUCAGACCCAAUACUGUCUUUUUCUUGAUAAUGAUCUCACAGGCAUCAGUUUCCUCUGAACCAAAGAAUAAUUCUCUUUUCAAGUGCUCUUGACAUAUUUAAGGCCACUUUUAUCACAGAAUGGUCCUUCUUCUCUGAUUGUAUCUUGAUGGUGAUAGUCUUAUACCAAAUCGUUGAAAUCUAACUGAUGAUCUUGGGGUUCAGUAUGAGUUCUCUUACUGACCCCUCUUCAUUUUCUAAUCCCUUGGACUUUAGCUUCUCACUCACAAACUCUUCAUUUUAUUUUUGAGUAAAUUUAUUACUUUUGUGAUUCUAUCCAAGACAGAGAAAUACAUUUUUCUACUUUUUAAUUAUGGUGAUUUUACAUCAAACUGUUGUGACCUUUAUUUUCCUAUUUUUUCCCCUUUCACAAAUAGGGGAAUUUUGUCUAAAUCCCCAUGUUACAACAGAACCUUUAUAAACUUAUAUAUUCCAGACUCUGUUAUCGAUUAAAUUUGUUUGUUCUUCUUAAGCUUAUACACAAGAAGAUGCUUUAUAGCCAGACAAAGCUGAGUUUUUUCCAGGGUAAGCGCUCCUAGGCACUAUAAUGCUUCUGCAUUAAAUCCUUUAUGUUCUGACCAUUGAUGUCUUUAAAUUAGGAAGAGGUGGUACUUAUCAGUGUCAAAUAGAUUCCACUUUAUCUCCAGGCUGUGUAUGAAGCCAUAACCUACACAUAUGAGUGUAGCUUCAUUUGCUUUUCCAAGCUUUCCUGUUCCUUUUUUUUUUUUAGUUGUCUUUUCAGUUCAGCAUUCAGCUGGAGUGACAGUAGGCUCUUUCCCUUUGUAGCUUAACAAAGAAAUAUGUGCCAUAGCACUCUAUUGACACCAAAUCAUCUCUCUAGUUUUUGCAAUCAGGCUUGCCAUGAGUCCAGAAUCUUUGAUAUCCUUCAACUCCUGUGCAUGUCUAAAAGAUGACUCUCUGAGGUAUCCAUUAAACUAUUCAUCAUUUCUGACUCAGAUGCUUGCCAAUUCUGUGAUGAUUUUGUCACCUUGUUGAAUCACACUUCCUAUGUUUGUUCCCUGAAAGAGGACAUGGUACUUUUCCCAGAAAACCAUCCCAACUCUGACUUAAGAUAUUCCUCAGCAAAGAUAGAAUGAUUUGGGCAUUGCCCAAGGACAUCGUGUCCUUUUUAAAAUCAAGAACUCUGGCUCUUGCCUCACUGAAAAGGGUAUUAUCCUUUUUUCUGAGUUAGAAUUUCCUUUAUUUUUCUUUCUGGCAGGCCUUCUUUUUCCAUUAAGGCCUAUAUUCUUGUGACUAUCUCUUCCUUCUCAAAAGGAAGCAUCCAUGUCAUUUUCCAAAGUGUCAUUUCCUGUUGUCAAAAUAUUCAAUAUUUUGACAUGAUCCAAAAGAUUGGUAAUUUACAGAAUACCAAAUGGUUUCUCCAUCUCUGGCCUCACUAUCAAUUACCUGUAAAUCAAUACUUAUUUUAAUUCCCAUUAGUCAAGAGCCCUCAAUGAGUUCCCAGUUCCCAAACACCAUAAUAUUUUCCAAUAUGUCAAUCAUUUUCUAAGUAAGGAUGACAUAAAUUCAUAUCUAAUAAAUCAAUAAUACUAUCAUUAGACUUGCAGUCUAUAUAAUGAUAAGCAAUGAAAUAAUAGUUACACAAAAUUAAAAUGCAUCAAAUGAAAAAGAAUCAAGUCAAUGUUAUGAGUAGCAGCGGCAUGAUCAGGCACUUUAUAUGUAUGAUUUCAUGUGAAAAUGCCCAUGAGAAAGAAAGGGAAAAAGGUUCUGGACAAUAUUCAGAGCAGUAUUUUAGCAUCAACCUUAUUAACUUCAUUUUACUUAGCCUACACUUUGAUUCUCUACAAUAUUCAUUUCAUUCUGUGUUUUAAAAUAAUUAAGAGAUAUAUUUAGGAAUUUAUUAAUUACCAAAAUUGCAAAUUGUUUUUCAGAUAGUUAUCUCUGAGCCCCCACCCUAGUUAGUGAAAUAAUAUUUACAUGAAAGUAUUUAAUACUAUUCAUUAAUGGGUAUUUAAUACAUUUACUUCAUAUUAAAAUAUAUUAAUUGUAUUUAUUUAAUAAACUUGAAAAAUCACUUUUCCCUAAUCAGUUGCUUCCUCUCUCAUUUUCUCUAAAUAUGCAAAUAUGUGCACAUACUUUAAAGUUAUUGCCCAUAUACUUUAACAGGAUAACCAUAAUACAAAUAUAUUAUUAUUUAUAAUAUAGUAGCUUAAAGAAAUAUUAUAGUCAUAGUCACCUUUAACCAUCAUUUUAGCUCUUGAUUUUUCACUUCUGAAUCAAAUCCCCACUAACUUCUCUGGAGAGUAGCCAAAGUCUCAAGGGCAAAGUUACUUCUCUCUUCUAAUAUAUUUCCAGCCAUGACAGGUAACUCUCCAAGACUAGAGUUAAAAAUUCUCCUUUUUCUAAAGAAUCUCUGAUUCCUGACUGAAAAAAAGGAAUUUUCUUUAUAAUUAUUUUUUAGUUAAUUCUUUAAAUAAGAAUUAACAAUAAUUCUAUCAGGAAAGAAAUUCUCUCUAUCCACUCUUUCCAUUAUUUGGUUUCUUUUUAGUGAUCACCAGUAAGAGGUUUAUUUUUUUAGAAUGAUACUUAGAUUUCUAGUUUCCCACAAAUAGAAGGAUGGUAAGCUACAAUUGCAAAAGAUUUCAAAGUCUCUUUAAGUGACAGUUUCUAUAGUUGUGUAGGAGAAGCUAUUGAAGUUCAUUUUAGAAUGAAUUAAAUUGAAGGCAUUUUCCCUAUACAUAGCAGCUUUCUAAUGUGAUCAGUUAUUGACAGGUCCAUAUCAUAUGGAUGUUUGCAAUUAUUAUGCAAUUGCUGAAACUCUAAAAGUUAAGAAUUUUAUGAAUGAUUAAAGGACUGAAUUCAUUUCUUCAUAUGAUAGCAAAAGACAUACCAGAUUUCCUUUUCAUAUCUUUCAAGGAAAGGUAAAAAAAUCUCAGAGCUCACACUGUGGGAUAUCUUGCAGUAUGGAAACCUUGUUUUUAUGGAGAAAGUCCAUAGUGUUUCCUAUCCUUUACCUAUUGAUUAUGAAGGUUAUCUUUAGCUCCUUGCUGAUAAGGAAGUAUACUCUGUAACUACCUGGGAUCUAAUCUUCUUAGAUAAUUCUUUAGUCAUGGAAUUCCUUUAAGAACAUUGCAUUAAAGUCUGAAGGGAAUAGAGUCCUAUUUGGGGCAUGUGUUUCCAGGCAAAAUAAGUCAAAGAGAUGAUUAUGGCAUAGUUCUUCAAUGUAAAAUAGAGGUGAACUUAAAUUGGAAAGAACUCCUUUGGUCAUUUUGUGUAAUGGAUACGUUUUUGCUAGUGUUUAACAUUGAAAACAGUAUUCUUGCUUGUAAAUAAAUGCUAGAUUUUAGGUUUUGUUUUUUGAAACUUAUUUUGGAAUACCUCAACUUGGAAUGGUAUUAAGUCAGUGACUUGGUAAUUGCCGGUGGGUCUGUUGUAAGUCAUUUGGCAGUAGGGAAUGUUAUUUUUUGGGGGAAUACUAGGAGCUUAGGGAUUAUAGGAUGGUAGUGUUCAAUCUGGAGUGAACUUUAGAGAAAGCUGCCAUCUUCUUAGGCUUUUCUGACCAGGACUAAACAAGAUCAAUAAUGUUUCUUAUGGCCAACUUACUACCAUGGACAGUAACCUGGUCCUGUCUACCCCAAGCUCUUUGAAUGGAUAGAGCAAGAAUAAUUUUAUUAGCCUUUGAGUUAGUGAGAAAAUGAAAGUUCCCCAGUGAGUACUAUGUAGUGCCAAUCCCUAUAUGACAGAAAAACGUGGUAGGAUCCAUGCCAUCAGCAUGAUCCUGACCUCAUAAUGAAAUGCUUCCAUGAAAAUUUCAUGAUAGAACACCAGUAAGAAUGUAAAUUUCUUGAGGGCACAGACUAUUUGGCUUAUGAAUUGGUAUCCCCAGCCCUGUGUCUUGAAUUUUGUCAGUGUUUGAUAAAUACCCAUUGAUUGAUUGAUUGAAGUCUCCCAAGCCUAACAAAUUUCUUUGGUGCUAUAUAGUAUUUAAUCAUGGUAGAAUGCAAAAGUUUCUGAAGCAAUGACCAUUUUUGUAUCUCUAGUGCCUAGUGUAAUGCCUAGGACAUAAUAGGUUCAUGAUAAAUGAUUGCUGAAUUGAAUUGGAUAGUAUCCAAAAUAAUACCCCUGUCACAUAUGUCCAUGCUGAGCAGCAUCUUGGUGACAUUAAUGUUGUGAUUACUUUAAGACUACUCAAAAUGUCUUAAUGCUGAGCAUGAGAAAAAGCAAAAAGAAUGAAUGGGUAGGAGAAGUGGAGAAACCAGGGAGAAAGGAGAGCAAAUUGAGUUGUAUCAAGCUAAGGAAUGAUGGAAAGUAUAAUAAUAUGUAACAAUAAAUAAUAAUGAAUAAUAAAGCUAAUUUAGAUGAAUGUUCUUGAACUUCCUUUCAAAGGGUAAUCACUCCCACUAUGGUUACCUCUUUCAGGAUGCCUUCAUAACCUGUUAAUUGUAGGACCAGGUCAUUGUCCCUUUGGUAGGGCCAUAGAUGUUUUAUCAUAUAGCUUAUGCCUAACUAAAUGUUUGUUUAGAAAUUCAGGUCUAGUUAAUUAUAGCAAUAGUUGAGAUGGAGAAAAUACUUCAUCUUUGCUGUAAGACAAAUAGUCUGGUUCCUUUGAUCUUGGUCUCCAGUCUUCCCCAUCGAUCCACACUCCUCCUCUUCACUGGUGUACUUUUAGAGGAAGUGGUUUAACGUUACUGAUUUUACUUUUAAGAGUUCAAAUGAUUUAAAAUUACCUACACAAUACACUCUCAAGUUUUCCAGAAUCUAUCUCCAUUUUCUCUAUUUAGUCAUACUCUACUAUUUUCAAAUAUAUUUCUCCAAUGCAGCAAUAGUAACUUAUUGAUUAUUUCCAAACAUAGAAAAAGGAAAUUUUUCAUUUUAUGUUUUCAUUUUUUUUUCUGAUUUGUGCCCCCCCCCACUUUUUAGCUAGAAAGACCUGAGAGCAUUUGUAGGAUGAGAGGAGUCAGUAGAGAGGUAAUUAUUGAAUAUAGGAGAGAAGAAAUGGAAAUAAACAUUGGCUUGAGUUCCUAGAGGAACUGCAAAGGGAUGGACUAAUGGACAUUAAAGAAGUAUUGAGUUCAGUUCUGGUUGCCACAAUUUAGCAAAAAAAGAAUGUAAGUUCCUUUAGGGCAAAGAAUUUUUCAUUUUUGUAUUUAUAUUAUUAUGAUUUAGCAUAGUGUUUGGCACAUCAGAAGGCACUUAACACAUAUUUGUUAAUUAAUUAGCUUUGGUAAACUGGAUAACAUCCAAAAAAGGGUUUGGCAAAAGUCUCUAAGAUCAUGUCAUAUGAGGAUUAUUCGUAAGAAAUGAGGAUAUUUAGCAUAGAGGUCAAAAAAUUGAUUGAAGGAGUCAUACCUGAGGGGAAUGAAAUGGAGAAAUGACAGCUGGUACUAAAUGCUUGAAUCUGUCACAUUGGAUAAGGGAUUAGGUUUGAUCUUCUUUGACCACAUUGGGCAGAAGUAGGAUCAAUGGGGAAGUGGCAAAGAGGCCAAUUUAAACUUGACAUUGGGGAACUCUUCCUAUAUAAUCUUCCUAUAUAUAAUAUAUAAAUUCAUUAUAUAUACAUAUAUAUAUAUAUGUAUAUAUAAUUAGGAUUAGAAUGGUCUCAAUAUAGAAUGGAUCUCUGUAAGCACUCCCUCAUUGUGCACCUUCCCACCAAAGCCGUAGGACCAACUAUGAGGCAUACUGUGUUGAAAACUGUUUUUGUUUGAGAGGUAAAUUAGAUAUCUUCCAGCUCUGAACUUAUGUCAUCCAGGGGAAGUUAUCCUUGGCAAAUAAACUAAUCUCAUCUACUGAGAGCAGUGGGAGUGUUGAAGGCUGAGAGUCUUCCUUGAAGGCAGGGACUGUUGUAUGUCUUGUUGGUCUGCAGAUCCCCAAUACCCAUCAAAACACCUAGCACACAGUAAGCACUCCCAAAAUGCUUGCAGAUCAUCUGACUCUUGUACUUCAGAAAAAUGACAAAAUAUAAACAAAAGAACUACUUUUCUUCAAGAGCUAAAUUCUUUCUAAUCAUUCAUGAAUUAUAUCCUCUCAGCUUGUUGUCAGGUGGUUACAGCAGGGAGCAUGUCUUUCUAUGUGUUUAACGAAGUGCCAAAUACCCUGUCAUCACCCAACCAGUCAUAAAGAGUUGUAAUAAAUGGAGAUGGUAUAAUAAGACAUUGGAAAUACUGAAGGAAGAAUUAUAUACUUUGAAGAUGAGAAAGAAAAUGCAGAUUGAGAAAAAAGUAGAUAGAUACCUGCAUGCAUUUGUUGUCUUGUUUGCUAUUUGAACUUUUGACAGGUGGGAAAGGUGCUGCACUUCCUAGUCUCUUUGGGAAUCUCACCUUCAAAUAUUCUACAAACAUCGAAAAUUCAUUAUCAGUGAGUCAGAGUUAGUCAUACUUAAGAUGGUAUAGAGAAUAUUUUGCCAGUCCUAGAGAGAGGAAGACAACGGUCCAAAUCCUUGUGUCAUAAUUAACAGCAACAACAUUUACAGAAUACUUUAAAGUUUGCAAACUAUUUUAUAUGAUUUCAUUUCCACGAUGGAGCUGUGUUGUAUAUAAGAUGAUAUUAUUUUCUCCAUUUUCUAACUAGGGACCCAGGCUUUAAAUAAAUCAGGUUUUUUCUAGACUCAGAAAACUAGUAAGUGUCUGAGGCACAAUCAGAACCCAAGUCUUUUUGACUACAGAUUCAACCCUCUGACUACUGCACUAUCAGCUGCUAUCAUUUUGGGGAGACAUAAAAUCUCUGAGUCACAAUUCAUUAAUUGAUUUGUUAGUAAUUCUUGCAUAUUGCUGCUGUGAGGCUCAACUGAGACUCUUAUGUAUGUUUAUAAAUAAAAACUUUUUUCCAUGCUCUAAAAUUCUACAUGAGUGAUUCUUAGCAUUGUCAUUACUAUUACUAUCAGGUAGAGCUAUAAUGACUAGGCUAGUGAUUUCAUUGACAUACAAAUCUUUUAGAUGAGUAAGCUUUCUUACUAAUGUAGGUGGUCAGAUUUUCUGAAAAUUUAUAGUCUUUAGGUGCUUAGAUCCAAGAAAAGUUAAGUGAUUUGCUCAGUAUCACUAUCUAUUGCCAGUAUGUGCCAAUCCCAGGAGAUACAGGUCUUCUUAGACCCUGGGUUGAUCAGUAGAUGAAGAGUUGGACUUGGAGUGAGGACAACCUGAGAUCAAAUCAUGUCUCAUACAGGAGUGUGGUCCUGCAUAAUCCACUUACAUCUUUCUCAGUGUCAGUUUCCUCACCUGUAAAAUAGAGAAGAUAAUAGCACCUACCUCAAAGGAUUCUUUUAAGGAUUAAAUGAGAGAACAUAUGUGAAGCACUUCUUAAAAUGAAAAGGUUAUAGGUGUGCUAGGUGGUAUCAUUUUUGGCUUUGAAGUUAUCUCUCCAUUUAAUAAUCUUCUUUAACAUCAUCAUUAUUAUUAUGUAUCCUAUAAAAGUGUUGGGUAUAUGUCCUCACACACCCUACAAUGCCACUGUACUUAUUAUUUGACAAGAGACUACUACUACAGCUCUCCUUAUGUGGAGUGAGCCAAGGGACCUGAGUUCAAAUUCAGCCUUAGACACUUUAGUUGUGUGACCCUGGCUGUCAUUUAAUGUUGGUUUCCCUCAGUUUCCUCAUCUGUAAAAUGACAUCAUAAAUAGCCCCUACCUCCCAAAGUUGUUUUGAGGAUCAAAUGAGUUGAUAUUUGCAAAGAGCCUUGCAGAUAGUAGGCAUUAUUUUAGUGUUGUCAUCAUUAUUGUUACCAGGGGGCAAUGGAACAGGAAGUUCCAGUGCUUUCAAGGCAAUUUGUCUUAGGGCAGUGGUCUCAAACUCAAAUAGAAAUAAGGGGCACUUAAUCAUAUAUAAAGACCCUUGAGGGGUGCUUAUUUAUCUAACCAUAAAAAGUAAAAUCAUCUUGUUUUUGAUGUAUUUUUAUUUAUUUUAUUAAUUAUUUCCCACAUGUUUUUUACUCUGAUUCUGCACUGGGGAGACUUGCCAGGCAUAAACUGGCAGAGUUUGACACUUCACUUCUGGAAAACUAAACUAAAGCUUGGGGUAGAAGAUCUAAGUUCUAAUCCUGAUCCAUAGUACUUGCAUGACCUUGAGCAAAUGACUGAACUGCUCAGUCUCAAUGAAAAUAUUAAAUCAACAACCAUUUAUUAAAUGCCUACUAUGUGCUCUGUAUUGUGCCAAGUGCUGUGGAUAAAAAGAAAGGCAAGCACAACCCCUGCCUUUAAGAAGCUCUUGAACCAAAAGGGGAGACAACAUGCAGCUAUAUCGAAAUUUGAUAAAUUGCAGAUAGUCACAGAAAGAAGGUGCUCACAUUAAGGGAGUCUGGAAAGGCUUCUUGCAGAAGGUGGCAAUCUUGGUUGACAUUUAAAGGAAGUCAGGGAAGCCAGGAGUCAGAGAUGAGGAAGGAGAGAAUUCCAGGCAUAGAAAUAACCAGUAACAGUGCAGAAUAGGGACCUGGAUUGUCUCGUUAGAGGAAAAACAAGAAGGCCAGUGUUACUGAAUCACAGAGUAUAUGGAGCUCAGUAAGGUAAAAGAAGACUAGAAAGAUAAGAAGGAGCUUUGAAUGCUAAAGAGAAAUGUUUAUAUUUGAUCUUGGAGAUGAUGGUGAGCCUUUAGUUCACAUUCAGUAGUUUAAUCAAUGUGGGGAUAGGAGGGCAUCCUGAUUUGAUCAGACAUGCUUUGGGAAAAUCACAGCUGAGUAGAGGAGGGACUGGAGUUGUGGGAAUCAUAAGGUAGAGACAUGGGCCAGAACUAGGUGUGAGGUGAUAAAAGCUCAAGCCCAAGUGGUGGCAUUAUUAGAGGGGAGAAGAGAGUAUACAUAAGAAAUAGUACAAAGGUACAAUCAACAAGACUUGUCAAUAGAUUGGAUAUUGGGGUGAGAGUGAGGAUUAAAAGGAUGACAGUUUCACCCAUCUCAUAUGAGAUGUCCAGUAGAAAGUUGGAGGGAGAGACUGGAGGCUCCUGGGUUUUCACGAAGAAAGUGCUUGAUGAGGAAUAUAAAUCUGAACAAUUCAGAUCCUUAAUACACAAGGGAGAAUUGUGGGAAUUUUAAAUUGGUGAGGAAAAUAAUUGUGAGUAAGGAAAUAUUUCAGGUCUGCUAAAACCAUUUCAUCACAAAAGCUGCCUCCUGUUCCUAUUCAUAGGCUAUAAUCAAAACUUGGUACAUUAACCAUUGAAGUGAGCUUCCAGAACCCAUGGCCAUCUUUUCUCUGCCCUCCCCCUUUCCCCUGUGUUCUUUCACCACUGCUACUAGUUUUAAAGUCUGGCUGGGUAAGCCAUUUCCAUCUUUCAAAAUAAUGAGAAUCACCCCAUUAAGCCACAGGGAGCAAGAACAUGUCACAGAGGAUCUAGGGCCCAUGCAUGAAGUACUACAUGGAGGCUGAAGAUAGCAAAGUGUUUAGUGCUUUCCACAGAAUCCCCAGAGAGCAGACUGCUGAUAGAGGGGUGAAACCACAAAGUUCCAGCAAACUUAUAGCUGCAGUCACUUCCCAAUUUGAAACCAUAACUAACUUGUAAUUAGGAUGGGAUGGAAGAGCCAUUUUGCAUUUAAAAUGCACAGCCCCUUCUCUGAGAAAUCCAUUUUUGAAACAAUUUGGAAUUGUAGUUUUUUGCUAAUAAUUUUAAGAUCUUUUCUUCCAAACACUUUAUAAGUGCUCAUUCUCCCAGCAUGCUUCCAAGGUAGGUAUCAUUACCCCAAUGUGUGUAUAGGGCUGGGUUGUUUUGAAGACAAAUGAGUUGGGACAUGAGCAUCCUGUUUUAACGUUAAUAUUUAAAUUGGAUUUUUUUACAUUGGUUGGAAAUUCAAAAUCAAGGCAAUUAAGGUUUUAUUCAUCCAGUUACGGUAGAGACAGUCAUAAUUUAGAGUUUUUAUGAUGCUGCAGAAUGAAACAACUAGAGCCCAUUUCCUUUUAUGAUGUAUAUGGCAGCUAAAUGAUCACCUUCUGAGACAGCUGCCCCCACAUGCCUCCCUCCCCACUUCUUAUCUUCCAAGAGUGAGAAAAGAUAUAACUUUGAUGCUGGAUCAUCUUUAUCAUGACCGAUGAACACACCUUAAGGACCAACACCAAGAUUCUCUUUGUUCUUUUUAUGUGUACUAGAUUAUAGUCUGCCAUUUAUGCCUCAUCAGAUCUAGGAGAGGAUUUGUGUUCUUGAAGACAAUGUCAAUGGGUUGCAACUCUAGGAAUUCCUUCUAUUGUGGUCCCUUUGAUAAACCAUUAGUUUUUUAUCCAGAGGCCAGACUAAUUUACUUAGAAAAGACUUAGUUACCAGAACAUUGACCAUCAGGUAGUGAAUAUUUUGAUUUUGAUUGCAACUCAUGAAACCAUCUAUUAAAGGAUAGCCAGGCUGUGACUUGUUUAAGAGGAACCAGUGCACAAGCAGAAUAAAUCACAGGUUCCAGAGGUGUUGAAAUAGAGAGGUGGAGCACUAUCAGAGUCAAUAAGAGGUACAGAAUGAAGGACCAUAUCUAAAACAUUUAAAUCAAGGGAUUUACUGGUCUCAGUUGCCCUGAUACUUGUUUUAAUAACUUUCUCUUCAUUGGCUAAAGAAGUCACAACCUCAUAGCCAACUUGGUGAGGUUAUCUCUACAAGGUUUAAGAUCUAGGUACCAUGUAUUGGUGUGACCAUUUGAAAGCUUUUCUAGGUUCCCAAGCUUUGUUUCCCUUCAGUCAGUCAGUCAACAACCAUUUUGUUGUUCCAAAUGCAAGGCACUUUGGAAAUGCAAGGAAAAGUAAAACACAUCACCAACUCUCAAAAAACUUUUAUAAUAAUGAGAGAGACAACAUAUAAACAACUCAUGUGCAUUAUAUAUAUAUAUAUAUAUAUAUAUAUAUAUAUAUAUAUAUAUAUAGUAAGUGGAAAGAAUCUCAGUAGAAAAGCACCCUUACAGAAGAUGGGAUUUGAAUGGAGUCUUGAAAGAAAAAAUGAGCAAAGCCGGGAGGCACAGGUGAGGAAGCAGAUCAUUCCAGACACUGGGAAUAGUCAGUGCUAUUUGAAAAACUAAGGUUCAUUUCCACUCCAUAAGGUAGAGAUGAUGGAUGUUGGGAUCUAUUUGGUCAAGGUUUAUCUACUCAUAGUAAAUUGAGUACAGUAUUGCUGAAACCUUACCAAAUGAUGAAAGGAUGAGAUAGUUGAAAGAGUUGUUAUACAAAGACCCAGUUAGAAUUCCAGUUCUACCAUCAUUUCACUGUAAUAAUGGACAAACUUUUCCUGUUUUGAGUCUCAGUUCUUCAUCUAUAAAAUGAGAGUUCUGGACCUUUAAAUACUUCCCAUCUCUUUAUCUAUGCCCUUUUUAUUAUUUUUCUUCAAGGCAAAACAACUUAAUUUGAAAAGUUUAUGUCCAUUCUGGUAAGUAAUUCAGGAGACUUAGCUGACAUUUGGGAAAAAAAACAAAACAAAGGCUAUAAAUUUGCAAAGGAAAAAUAAUAAAUAGGUUAUCUUAACAGAAAGAAGAGUGAAUAAUGAGUUAUUAACUAGAGUGGAUCAAAAGCAGCAAACUCUAGGUGCUUAAUGUUUGGCCUUACAUUAGGUAUAGUCAUGUGGAUGGUAUGUGGUGUAGUGUGGGGUCAGGAUUCCCUGACCACAAAUAUCUCAUCCUUUCUAGAGUGCCAUGGUGCCUAAAAUUCUAACAUCAGAACAUUAUUCUUUGGGGAAUAAAGAAUGCUACCUUCAGACAUCUCCCGUUUAAAUCUCAAUAGUUAAGAUGCAUUAACCAUUAACGAGGAAAAACCAGGUGGUAGAGUAAUUAGAAUGCUGGCCAUAGAGUAAUGAAAACUAAACCUUUUGAGUUCAGAUCUGAUAUCAAACACUUUCUAGUUGUGUGAUGCUGGGCAAGUAAUUUAACUGUAUUUGCCUCAGUUCCUCAUCCAUGGAAUGAGCUGGAGCAGGAAAGCACAAACCACUGUAGUAUCUUUGUCAGGAAUUAUGAGUUGUUUCUAAAGGGACAGCUAAUUUGAGGGCUUUAAGGGAAUGAGGGAUGGGUAUUGAUUUGGAGAUGCCUAGAUGGAGUGGGUGGGGCACUGAAUGAAUGGAUGAAAAUCAUGGGACCUUCCAGGGAGGGCAUAUCUGGGUGGGGUGCUGCAUUGAUAUGAAGAUAAGGGAUCUGACAAUAGUCAUGGCAGCAGGUGUUGCAAAUGGGAGUAACAGUAGAGCACCAAAGUGGGGGGAUAAUGGGAAGAUUGCUGCAGACAAUGUUGAAAACAAGGUUGGCUUGCUUUCCAUUUUUGCCAGGUGUGGAAUGUCAUGU